UACGUAGGGUGCUAGCGUUGUCCGGAUUUAUUGGGCGUAAAGAGCUCGUAGGCGGUCUGUCACGUCGGCUGUGAAAACCCGAGGCUCAACCUCGGGCCUGCAGUCGAUACGGGCAGACUAGAGUUCGGUAGGGGAGACUGGAAUUCCUGGUGUAGCGGUGAAAUGCGCAGAUAUCAGGAGGAACACCGGUGGCGAAGGCGGGUCUCUGGGCCGAAACUGACGCUGAGGAGCGAAAGCGUGGGGAGCGAACAGG
rnacentral:rRNA from 1 species